AUUGAACGCUGGCGGAAUGCUUUACACAUGCAAGUCGAACGGCAGCACGGACUUCGGUCUGGUGGCGAGUGGCGAACGGGUGAGUAAUGUAUCGGAACGUGCCCAGUCGUGGGGGAUAACGUAGUGAAAAUUACGCUAAUACCGCAUGCGAUCUAUGGAUGAAAGCGGGGGAUCGCAAGACCUCGCGCGAUUGGAGCGGCCGAUAUCAGAUUAGGUAAUUGGUGGGGUAAAGGCCCACCAAGCCAACGAUCGGCAGCCGGUCUGAGAGGACGACCAGCCACACUGGAACUGAGACACGGUCCAGACUCCUACGGGAGGCAGCAGUGGGGAAUUUUGGACAAUGGGCGAAAGCCUGAUCCAGCCAUUCCGCGUGCAGGAUGAAGGCCCUCGGGUUGUAAACUGCUUUUGUACAGAACGAAAAGGUUUCUACUAAUACUAGGAGCUCAUGACGGUACUGUAAGAAUAAGCACCGGCUAACUACGUGCCAGCCGCCGCCGUAA
rnacentral:rRNA from 1 species